CCUACGGGUGGCUGCAGUGGGGAAUAUUGGACAAUGGGGGCAACCCUGAUCCAGCCAUGCCGCGUGUGUGAAGAAGGCCCUCGGGUUGUAAAGCACUUUCAGUGAGGAAGAACGCCUGGUGGUUAAUACCCAUCAGGAAAGACAUCACUCACAGAAGAAGCACCGGCUAACUCCGUGCCAGCAGCCGCGGUAAUACGGAGGGUGCGAGCGUUAAUCGGAAUGACUGGGCGUAAAGCGCGCGUAGGUGGCUUGAUAAGCCGGUUGUGAAAGCCCCGGGCUCAACCUGGGAACGGCAUCCGGAACUGUCAAGCUAGAGUGCAGGAGAGGAAGGUAGAAUUCCCGGUGUAGCGGUGAAAUGCGUAGAGAUCGGGAGGAAUACCAGUGGCGAAGGCGGCCUUCUGGACUGACACUGACACUGAGGUGCGAAAGCGUGGGUAGCAAACAGGAUUAGAUACCCUGGUAGUC
rnacentral:rRNA from 1 species